CCACGCCCUAAACGAUGUAUACUAGUUGUUGCUUUGCUAGUCAAGGCAGUAAUGCACCUAACGGAUUAAGUAUACCGCCUGGGGAGUACGGUCGCAAGAUUAAAACUCAAAGGAAUAGACGGGGACCCGCACAAGCGGUGGAGCAUGUGGUUUAAUUCGAAGAUACGCGAAGAACCUUACCCGGACUUGAUAUCUAACAAAUCUUUUAGAGAUAAGAGAGUGUCUGCUUGCAGAAAUGUUAAGACAGGUGCUGCACGGCUGU
rnacentral:rRNA from 1 species